AAAUAACAACCAAUACCACAGAAAUACAAAAUACCAUAAGAAAAUAUUAUGAACACUUAUAUGCCAGAAAAAUGGACAAGCUAUAAGUAAUGGACAAGUUUCUAGAAUCAUACAGCCUGCCAAAACUGAAUCAAGAAGAAACAGAUAAUUUGAACAAACUGAUCACUAGAAAUGAAAUGGAAUCUAUAAUUGAAAAAACUCCCUGCAAACAAAACAAGAAGGGCUUCCCUGGUGGCGCAGUGGUC